GACGAACGCUGGCGGCGUGCUUAACACAUGCAAGUCGAACGGAAAGGCCCUGCUUUUGUGGGGUGCUCGAGUGGCGAACGGGUGAGUAACACGUGAGUAACCUGCCCUUGACUUUGGGAUAACUUCAGGAAACUGGGGCUAAUACCGGAUAGGAGCUCCUGCUGCAUGGUGGGGGUUGGAAAGUUUCGGCGGUUGGGGAUGGACUCGCGGCUUAUCAGCUUGUUGGUGGGGUAGUGGCUUACCAAGGCUUUGACGGGUAGCCGGCCUGAGAGGGUGACCGGCCACAUUGGGACUGAGAUACGGCCCAGACUCCUACGGGAGGCAGCAGUGGGGAAUAUUGCACAAUGGGCGGAAGCCUGAUGCAGCAACGCCGCGUGCGGGAUGACGGCCUUCGGGUUGUAAACCGCUUUCGCCUGUGACGAAGCGUGAGUGACGGUAAUGGGUAAAGAAGCACCGGCUAACUACGUGCCAGCAGCCGCGGUGAUACGUAGGGUGCGAGCGUUGUCCGGAUUUAUUGGGCGUAAAGGGCUCGUAGGUGGUUGAUCGCGUCGGAAGUGUAAUCUUGGGGCUUAACCCUGAGCGUGCUUUCGAUACGGGUUGACUUGAGGAAGGUAGGGGAGAAUGGAAUUCCUGGUGGAGCGGUGGAAUGCGCAGAUAUCAGGAGGAACACCAGUGGCGAAGGCGGUUCUCUGGGCCUUUCCUGACGCUGAGGAGCGAAAGCGUGGGGAGCGAACAGGCUUAGAUACCCUGGUAGUCCACGCUGUAAACGGUGGGUACUAGGUGUGGGGUCCAUUCCACGGGUUCCGUGCCGUAGCUAACGCUUUAAGUACCCCGCCUGGGGAGUACGGCCGCAAGGCUAAAACUCAAAGGAAUUGACGGGGCCCCGCACAAGCGGCGGAGCAUGCGGAUUAAUUCGAUGCAACGCGUAGAACCUUACCUGGGUUUGACAUGGAUCGGGAGCGCUCAGAGAUGGGUGUGCCUCUUUUGGGGUCGGUUCACAGGUGGUGCAUGGCUGUCGUCAGCUCGUGUCGUGAGAUGUUGGGUUAAGUCCCGCAACGAGCGCAACCCUUGUUCACUGUUGCCAGCACGUCAUGGUGGGGACUCAGUGGAGACCGCCGGGGUCAACUCGGAGGAAGGUGGGGAUGGCGUCAAGUCAUCAUGCCCCUUAUGUCCAGGGCUUCACGCAUGCUACAAUGGCUGGUACAGAGAGUGGCGAGCCUGUGAGGGUGAGCGAAUCUCGGAAAGCCGGUCUCAGUUCGGAUUGGGGUCUGCAACUCGACCUCAUGAAGUCGGAGUCGCUAGUAAUCGCAGAUCAGCAACGCUGCGGUGAAUACGUUCCCGGG
rnacentral:rRNA from 1 species